UUGAUGCAAAUAAUGUUUAUUAGUUUAAAUGACAAUGGUUUCUAAGUGUUAAGCUAAACAGUGUUAAGGUUAGUCAACAAUCAAACAUAUUUCAUCCUGCAAUAUCAAAAAUACUUUGUAGAUGCAUAUGAAAUUUUUUUUUGUGAUAAAUCUACUGAAGGAAAAAAAAGCAUUCAAUCAAGACCAAUGUUAAAGAAGGCCUGAACACUGACCUGCAACGUCACAGCCUGUGGGCAGUUUAGACCAAUAGCUUGAUAUCACCUCAUAUAGACCUAUAAUGUGCCGACA